AGAGUUUGAUCCUGGCUCAGAGUGAACGCUGGCGGCAGGCCUAAUACAUGCAAGUCGAACGGCAGCACAGCAGAGCUUGUUCUGUGGGUGGCGAGUGGCGGACGGGUGAGGAAUACGUGGGAAUCUGCCCAGUCGUGGGGGAUAACGUAGGGAAACUUACGCUAAUACCGCAUGCGCCCUUCGGGGGAAAGCCGGGGACCUUCGGGCCUGGCGCGAUUGGAUGAGCCCACGUCGGAUUAGCUAGUUGGCGGGGUAAAGGCCCACCAAGGCGACGAUCCGUAGCUGGUCUGAGAGGAUGAUCAGCCACACUGGAACUGAGACACGGUCCAGACUCCUACGGGAGGCAGCAGUAGGGAAUAUUGGACAAUGGGCGCAAGCCUGAUCCAGCCAUGCCGCGUGAGUGAAGAAGGCCCUCGGGUUGUAAAGCUCUUUUGUCCGGAAAGAAAAGCGCCGGGUUAAUACCCUGGUGUCCUGACGGUACCGGAAGAAUAAGCACCGGCUAACUUCGUG
rnacentral:rRNA from 1 species